UGAGGAAUAUUGGUCAAUGGGCGAGAGCCUGAACCAGCCAAGUAGCGUGCAGGAUGACGGCCCUAUGGGUUGUAAACUGCUUUUAUAUGGGAAUAAAGUGAGGGACGUGUCCCUUAUUGCAUGUACCAUACGAAUAAGGACCGGCUAAUUCCGUGCCAGCAGCCGCGGUAAUACGGAAGGUCCAGGCGUUAUCCGGAUUUAUUGGGUUUAAAGGGAGCGUAGGCUGUUUGUUAAGCGUGUUGUGAAAUGUAAGAGCUCAACUCUUAGAUUGCAGCGCGAACUGGCAGACUUGAGUGCGCACAACGUAGGCGGAAUUCAUGGUGUAGCGGUGAAAUGCUUAGAUAUCAUGACGAACUCCGAUUGCGAAGGCAGCUUACGGGAGCGCAACUGACGCUAAAGCUCGAAGGUGCGGGUAUCGAACAGG
rnacentral:rRNA from 1 species